CAUUGUAAGGACGCAAUCACUAAUAGGAUGUUAGUGAGCAAGGAAUGGCAAUGGACCCCUCUAAGGAUUGAGGUAAGGACCGCUUCAGGAUGAAGCAAGGGACACCGCUCAGGGAACAAGUGAUGUGCGCUAACGAGGAAUGUUAGCAGUCGGGAAGACUCAGGACACCGCUAGGAUGGCGACGUAAGGAAUAGCUGAAGGAUUCAGCCACUAUUAUGGAUGAUGCAGGGAGCAUUAUUAGUAGCCGGACUGCUGCGAGUAAGACUAUAGCCCCGAUACUCUGUAUCGGGGCUUUUCUUAUAC
rnacentral:other from 1 species